UGGGGAAUAUUGCACAAUGGGCGAAAGCCUGAUGCAGCAACGCCGCGUGAGUGAUGAAGGCCUUCGGGUUGUAAAGCUCUGUCUUUUGGGGCGAACGUGAGUAUGGUGAACAAUCAUAGUCAGUGACGGUACCAAAGGAGGAAGCCACGGCUAACUACGUGCCAGCAGCCGCGGUAAUACGUAGGUGGCAAGCGUUGUCCGGAAUUAUUGGGCGUAAAGAGCGCGUAGGCGGGAUAGUCAGUCUGUUGUAAAAGUGCGGGGCUCAACCCCGUGAUGGCAAUGGAAACAGCUACUCUUGAGUGCAGGAGAGGAAAGUGGAAUUCCCAGUGUAGCGGUGAAAUGCGUAGAUAUUGGGAGGAACACCAGUGGCGAAGGCGACUUUCUGGACUGUGUCUGACGCUGAGGCGCGAAAGCCAGGGGAGCGAACGGGAUUAGAUACCCCGGUAGUCCUGGCCGUAAACGAUGGGUACUAGGUGUGGGAGGUAUCGACCCCCUUCCGUGCCGGAGUUAACGCAAUAAGUACCCCGCCUGGGGAGUACGGUCGCAAGACUGAAACUUAAAUGAAUUGACGGGGUCAUAGCUGUUUCCUG
rnacentral:rRNA from 1 species